UGUUAGCGUGUUAUGAUGCCAUCUCGUACCAACCUGGCUACUGGAAUCCCCAGUAGUAAAGUAAAAUACUCAAGGCUUUCCAGUACAGAUGAUGGCUACAUUGACCUUCAGUUUAAGAAAAGCCCUCCUAAGAUCCCUUAUAAGGCCAUUGCACUUGCCACUGUGCUGUUUUUGAUUGGCGCCUUUCUCAUUAUCAUAGGCUCCCUCCUGCUGUCCGGCUACUUCAGCAAAGGGGAGGCAGACCGGGCCAUUCCUGUCCUGAUCAUUGGUAUUCUGGUAUUCCUGCCCGGAUUUUACCAUUUGCGCAUCGCCUACUAUGCAUCCAAAGGCUACCGGGGUUACUCCUACGAUGACAUUCCAGACUUUGACAAUUAG